rnacentral:misc_RNA from 1 species
CGUUCUGGCUCAGAUUGAACGCUGGCGGGAUGCUUUACACAUGCAAAGUCGAACGGCAGCACGGACUUCGGUCUGGUGGCGAGUAGCGAGCGGGUGAGUAAUGUAUCGGAACGUGCCUAGUAGCGGGGGAUAACUGCGCGAGAAGCGUAGCUAAUACCGCAUACGCCCUUCGGGGAAAGCGGGGGACCUUCGGGCCUCGCACUAUUAGAGCGAUAUCGGAUUGGCUAGUUGGUGGGGUAACGGCUCACCAAGGCGACGAUCCGUAGCUGGUUUGGGAAGGACAGCCAGCCACACUGGGACGCAAGAGACACGGCCCAGACUCCUACGGGAAACAGCGAGUAAAGGAAUUGGUUGUGGCGAUUGGUCAGCCAUCCUGCGGGCUGGCAGUGAGGUUACUGAGGCUGUAAGCACACUGGCGAAAGGAACCGUGCUGGAUAAACACCGUGCAACCGGCCGAUUACCUGCAGAAUCGUACCGGUAUUUCGUGCCGCUGAGCCGCGGUGGUAAAUCGGUGCAAGUGAUGUCGGAAUUGCUGGUGUGAGCGUGCAGGCAACGAGAAGAAGACAUGAAUCUAGUGAGCCUUUAACUUUGGAUUUGCAUUUUAGCUGCGUAGAGUGUCGUCAGGCGGAGUGGAAUUCCGCAGCGUCAGCAGUGUAAAUGCGAAGGGCAGAUGCGGGGACACGGCGCGGCGUCUCACGGAUGUAUGACGCUCAUGCGGGAAGCGAUGAAGGGCAACAGGUUAAGACCCUGUAGUUCGCCCUGUUCGUUAUCAACUAACACUGUUGAAGGGCCCUUCGGUGCUGAGCAGCUGCAUGGCCGGUGAAGUUGACGCCUGGGAUUGAUGCAAGGUCGACUCAAAGGAAUUGACGGGGACCCGCACAGAAAGCGGUGGAUGAAGUGUGGAUUAAUUCGAUGCAACGCGAAAAACCUUACCUACCCUUGACAUGUCUGGAAUCCCGAAGAGAUUUGGGAGUGCUCGCAAGAACUGAACUGGUGCUGCAUGGCUGUCGUCAGCUCGUGUCGUGAGAUGUUGGGUUAAGUCCCGCAACGAGCGCAACCCUUGUCAUUAGUUGCUACGAAAGGGCACUCUAUUAAGGACUGCCGGUGA